GGCCUUGGUUCAGUGGCAGAGCAGCUGCCUUGCAGGCUGAAGGUCCUGGGUUCGAUCCCCACCAGCAUCU